rnacentral:rRNA from 1 species
UGGUGGAGCGAUUUGUCUGGUCAAUUCCGAUAACGAACGAGACUCUAGCCUACUAAAUAGUUCGGGGACCCCCACAAAGGGGCCCCGCUUCAACUUCUUAGAGGGUCAGGUGGCGUUUAGCCACACGAGAUUGAGCAAUAACA